UUUCCAAACCCACACCCAGCAAAACGAAUAGUCAUCUUCAACUGAGGGCGAACUCUACAGACGCAGAGCCAAAAUCAAAACUUGAACAAGCAUAUGAAGAACGAAUAGGAGGAGGAGCUGAAUGGACCUCCAAAACAAAAUCAUGAGCCGAAGCAAUUAAAGAGGGUCAUAUCACUGCCGAUUUGAGCAAAGAGCAUCUUCAACAGCAAAAGGGGCUUCCUCAAUCCAAACCAUCGGGGUUGUAAAAGAUCAACCCAGCUUCGCCAGCGAGUGAGCCACCGAAUUUAGAGUACGAUGGACAGACUUAAAAGAUAAGUACUCGAAAUUCCUUUGCAUGCAUAGAACGUUGUAGAUAAUCAUACUAACAAAAGAGAAAUCUAGCAUAAGUGAAGUUACUUCGUUAAUGGUGACCUGUGAGUCCUCUCAAUAAUAGCGCGACGAAAACCCAACUCACUAGUUAGUGCAAGUACUUGUUCACAAGCUCUAGAGAGAGAAUGUGAGCAUUUGUAUAGACACUAAACGCCAUAACUAGACCCUCAGAAUUUCUGAUUCUAAUACCCGAAACAGAGAUUUUGGAAGCGUAGUGAAAGCCAGCAUCAAAAUUGGUCUUGACAGUAUUUGCAGGAGGGGAAUACCAGUGACCAGUUGCUUGAGGAGAAAUACCAUAAAGCCCAUAACGCAACAACAAAAACUUUGACUUGGUUCUUGGGUAAUAUAUCAAACAAGUUAUAUAACCACAACAACCACUGCUGGUUACCAGAAAUAAUAGGAAGUGCAAGCUAAAGUACAGAAAACAACUGGUUAAAGAAGGGGCAAUCAUAGACAAGGUUAGCAGCAAUAGGGAGGUAAUUUUUACAGAACCGACAACAGGUGAUCUUCACUUUAGAUGGUAUAGGAAGUAACCAAAUUGUGUCAAACACCUUAUGAUCAUUAUUUGAAUCAAUGAUAGUCCAGAUAAGAUGAAGAUACCCGCUCUUAACAAUAUACACCUCUGCUUUAUCAAACCGCCAAUAGACAAUAUAUGGUUGCUGAGAAGUUGGCAAAGGGAUGUUUAAAAUUUUCUCUGCCUGAUCAGGUGGAAAAAGUGAAAGAAUAUCAUCUUUCCUCUAGGAACCCAACUAUCGCGCCAGAUAUUAAUUGAUGAGCCUAAACCAACUUUCCAACUCACCCCUGCUCUAAGAGACCACGGGUGGACUAAAUGCAUAUCCAGGUAUAGAAUGGGUAAUAACCCAAACCAUCUUCUAUAAACGUUGAUGUAGGGAAAUAACACCCCUUUAGUACCUGAGCCAAAAGGUAGUCAGGUUUAGAAAGAAUACACCAACCUUGCUUGGCCAAAAUGACAAUGUUAAACUUAGCCACGUCUUUAAAGCCCAUACCUCCCACCGACGUAGGAGAGCACAAGUCUAGCCAUUCAACCCAAUGAAUUCCUUUGCUAGAGCUAUUAUUGCGCCACCAGAAUUUGUUAAAAAUAGACUCCAACUCACGACAGAUACCUAGUGGAAAUAAAAAAACAUUGCAUUGCAUAAAUAGGAGCGGCUUGCAACACUGACUUUAGAAACAUCUCUUUACCACCCAUACACAAGUACCUACUACUUCAACCAUUAACCCGAUGGUUCACUUUGUCCUGCAACCCAACAAAAGUCUCUUUUAUAUGACAACCCACCAUAGUCGGGAGUCCAAUGUAUUUCUCCAGACUCCUGGAGAUUCGAACACCAAAAAAAACCCACCAAAGAGUAAUCAUUAGCAGUCACAUUUCUCCCAAAAUAAAUCAAGGACUUAUCAUAAUUUACACGUUAGCCAGACGCAACUUCAUAUUCCAUUAACAAAUCUCGUAACGUAACAGCAUCACAAGCAGUGGCAUCACCAAAUAAAUACAGUUAUGUGCGAAAAAUAAAUGUGUAAGGGAAACCAUACCUACCAACCUUACAUCCAGAGAUUGCAUCGGUAGCCUUAACCGAAUUAAGUAAAGAGGAAAGACCCUGCGUGUACGUCACAAAAAGAUAUACACUUAACGGGUCACCUUGGCGUAAACCACGGGUGGGAGAGAAGGACACUCCAAGAACCCCAUUGAAAACAAUCAAAUUUGAGACCGUGGAAACACAACUCAUCACCAGUGUGACCCAUCGGGGGAGAAAACCUCAUCACGAGCAUUACAUCCCGUAAAUAGGACCAUUCCACCCAAUCAUAAGCCUUACUCAUAUCAAUUUUCAAAGCAAAAGAACCACGGCGGCUAGAAGUUUUUAGCUUCAAUGAAUGCAAAAUUUAAUAAGCAAUCAAAACAUUAUCUGUAAUAUGUCUUACUAGAACAAAAGCACCCUUGACUCAUUAAUACAAAAAUCCAGGAAACCACAAAGCCUAUUGACAAUCGCCUUGGCAAUAA